AUGGGUCAGGCGCAGAGUCAAUCAGCCUCAGGCGAUGACUGUGAUUACUGCAAUUCUCCCACGGAUCAGAGAGGGGGAAGCGGCAAACCGGGUACAAAUCUGAACGACGGUCGAGCUCGGGUAUCUGAUUCUAGUAAGCAAUCGGGGACUCCUGGUGUACAUCAUGGAAUACCAGACCAAACAUCUGAUUAUCCUGGAGCUCAGACGGCACAGCCGGGACAAAUUAGUACUCCAGGAAGUAUUGGAACGCCUCAUCAGACUCCAGGAUACCCAAGUGGUCUACCCGGCGGUCCUGGUGGUCCUGGAUACCCUGGUGGUUUGGCUACAAUUCCAGGACAAAUUGGAGUUGUAGGAAGUGUUGAGACAACUCCUCAGAUAACUGGAUAUCCUGGUGGUGCGGGUGAAACUCCUGGUCGUCAAACAUCGUUUCCAGGACAAGCACCAGUUCCUGGGAGUGUUGGGACGUCUCCACAGAUAACUGGAUAUCCUGGUGGUCAAACAAUACUUCCCGGGCAAGGUGCAAUUCCAGGGAGUGUUGGGACGUCUCCACAGAUUACUGGGUAUCCGGGUGGUCAAACAAUACUUCCCGGGCAAGGUGCAAUCCCAGGGAGUGUUGGGACGUCUCCACAGAUUACUGGGUAUCCUGGUGGUCAAACAAUACUUCCCGGGCAAGGUGCAAUCCCAGGGAGUGUUGGGACGUCUCCGCAGAUUACUGGGUAUCCUAGUGGUCUGGUAAGCACUCCUGGUGGUCAAACAAUACUUGCCGGGCAAGGUGCACUUCCAGAGAGUGUUGGGACGUCUCCACAGAUUACUGGGUAUCCUGGUGGUCCGGUUGGUACUCCUGGUGGUCAAAUAAUACUUCCCGGGCAAGGUUCGAUUCCAGGUAGUGUUGGGACGUCUCAGCUGAUUCCUGGAUACCCAAGUGGUUCGACUGGAGUAUCUGGUGGUCAAGUAUUACUUCCGGGACAAGUCGGAGUACCAAGUGGCGUUGGGACAACUCCCCAGAUUACUGGAUACCCAGGUGGUCCAGCUGGAACUCCAGGUAGCUCUACUUAUAUUGGUGGUCAAUUAUUUCCACCCGGACAUGAUGGCAUUCAGGGAACUUUUGGAAAGACCCCUCAGAGUACUGGAUACCCUGGAGGUCAAUUUUCGCAACCCGGACAAGUUGGAAUUCCUGGAGGAGGAACCAGAUAUCCAGGUGUUCCGAGUUCUUUCCCAGGUUUUAGUCAAGGAUCGACAUCUAUUCAGCCUGGAACUUUCACCGGGGGAUCCUCUAUUCCAGGGCAAAUAGGCUAUCCUGGUGGAGGGGCCCAAGGCCCGGGUCAAACCCAAUAUCCGAGUGGUUCAGUGAGAACGCCAGAUCAAAAUAUUUAUUCUCAGGGUCAAACUGGCUAUACUGGCGGGCAGGUUGGAGGUAGCUAUCCUUCCAGCCAAGGUGGUUUUCCCGGGACCCAGUCACAAUCUCUGCAACCCGAUGUAAAGGGACGUGUUCCGGGGGUGGUUGGAUAUCCGAGUGGCCAAGGAGUUUCUUACCCCGACGAUGGACUAAGAGGGUACACAACUGGGCAAGGCACAUCACCGGGAGGUUUACAUUCUCCCGGUCAGUCCUCGUAUUCAGGAGGUGGAACUUUCCCUUCGAUCGGAUAUCCCUCAAGCCAAAGAGGUUUUCCAGAAUAUUCAGGUGUAGGUACCGUGCCUGGAGGUUAUCCUCUUAGUCAGGGUGGUACACAAGUACAGCCAGGUUAUCCAGGAUCGUUAGCGAGGGUGCCCGGCCCAGCAGGGCUCCCAAGUACCCCUUCGGGUGCCACAGGACAAAUUUUGCCAGGAGCUGGGAGAGAUCUCCACGGCCAAGUGGGUUAUCCAAGCGGUCAAGCAGGCUACCCAAGUCAGCUUUCAGGUCCCCAAUUUGGUGUGCAUCCAGGGUAUACUUCAACAGGCAGUGGGCCAGCCGGAUAUCCAGGACAACAAAUAGGAAUAGUGAAUCAAUUCAAUCCUUCUCAACAAACUUGGAUUAGUCAAGGGGGUCGGGCCCUCCCCAGUAUCCACAUCAAAUUAUUCCCGGCCAAGAAUCUGGUAUCUCAGCGCCAGUACCGAGUUUUAGACCAGGACAGGGAGGGUAUGAUACUACAGGAAUAG
rnacentral:lncRNA from 1 species